rnacentral:lncRNA from 1 species
GCACACACUGUCUCAAAACUUGCAAGAGACCGACACAUUUGUCUUGAUCAUAAGGCGAUUGUGCUACACAGUUUAGCAGAUCCAGUGCUUCCUCCAUUCCUUGUUUUCUUUAUCAAAAUCUGAGGUUUCAGGUAAUGGUACGAUAAACGGCUAAACCUGCUGUAUUUGCACCCUGUGUUUUCAUAAAUCCGUCACAUAAGUUUCUGUAUUUUCAAUUCAAAUCAUAUGUAUUCCCAAUUUCAGUUAUUUGAGUAUGAUUUUGCAAAAUUGACAAUUUUUUACAUGUUAGAUCUCGAAUAAAAAUACAAUAUACACGAACACCACUCGCGAGUCCCACUCUAUACGAUUAUAUAUAUAUAAAUGAUCAAUUUUGGAAAAUACACUUGUUUAAUUGAUCGAAAUAAGUAUAUAAGGAUAUAUUUGAUGGAAUUGUGAAAGAAAACACAUGGUGUAAAUAGGUGGAUUUAGCCUAAGAUAAACCCUUGCUAAGGUUUAAACUUUAAACUUGUUGGUCUUCC